AGUCUGGUAAGCAAGGUUUAAUUCUUUUUUUUUUUAAUUUUUAAUUUUUUAGCUUUCUCAAUUGAAUUACGAAUUUGAAAGAUGGGUUUUUUCCCUGAUGAAGUUAUUCUACAAAUUCUUGCAAGAUUGCCUGUAAAGUCCCUCUUUAAGACAAAAACUGUUUGCAAGCUUUGGUAUAGAUUAGCAUCAGACAAGUAUUUUAUAAGACUUUAUAAUGAGGUGUCUGCUAAGAAGUCAAUGGUCCUUGUUGAGAUUUCUGAUUCAAUAGAAUCAAAAUCAAGCUUGAUUUGUGUUGAUAAUUUGAGGGGUGUCUCUGAAUUUUCAUUGGAUUUCUUGAGAGAUAGAGUCAAGGUUAGAGCUUCUUGUAAUGGCUUGUUGUGUUGCUCUAGCAUUCCUGAGAAGGGUGUUUACUACGUUUGUAACCCUAUGACUGGAGAGUUUAAGUUGCUCCCUAAGAGUAGAGAGAGGCCUGUCACGCGGUUUUAUCCGGAUGGUGAAGCCACGCUUGUUGGUUUAGCAUGCGAUUUAUCAAGGAAUAAGUUUAAUGUUGUCUUAGCAGGUUAUCAUCGUACCUUUGGUCAUAGACCUGAUGGGACUUUCAUAUGUUUGAUAUUUGAUUCGGAUUCUAAUAAGUGGAGGAAGUUUGUUUCAUUUCAAGAAGAUAAUUUCACCCAUAUGAACAAGAAUCAAGUUGUGUUUGUUAACGGUGCCCUUCAUUGGUUGACUGGUAGUUAUUCCUAUAUACUUGCACUUGAUUUAGAUUAUGAGAUUUGGAGGAAGAUUUCAUUGCCUGAUGAAGUGAGUUAUGGGACUGGGAAUAGAGUUUAUUUGUUGGAAUCCAGUGGGUGUUUAUCUUUGAUUCAGAUUUCUGAUGCGUGGAUGAAGAUUUGGGUGAUGAAAGACUAUGAGAGGGAACUCUGGCAUAUGGUGGAUAGGAUGAGUCUUAGAUGCAUUAGGGGACUAGUACCAGGCAUUUUCCCUAUCACUCAAACCGGUGAAUAUGUCUUUUUGGCAACUCACAAGCAGGUUUUAGUAUACCAUCGGAGGAGUAGAGUGUGGAAGGAGAUGUACUCUGUGAAGAACAGUGCUACCCUCCCAUUAUGGUUCUCAGCACAUGCAUUUCGGAGCACAAUCUUCCCUUGUGGUUAAGGAAACAAUUGCCUUCUAAUAAAUUGAUGAAUUUUUGUGGAAGCCUGGUUGGUGCUGUUUUGAAAAUUGUCAGGUAGUUGUCUUCAUCAAAUUUUUGUGCGGUGAAAUGUUUUGUAU